UGUUAAAAAUUUCAUCCUUUUUUUUUUGUUAAAAACUGGUAUAACAGAUAAAAUAACAAGAUAAUUAUACGUAAAAUAUCACGUAUACCUCAUGUUGACAUACAGGGACCAAUUUUUAAUAGUAGAAAUAGAUAGAAUUGUUAACA
rfam:Gossypium arboreum cultivar AKA8401 contig_58789_1, whole genome shotgun sequence.